GUGUAAUAAGACAUCAAAUAUGUAAGGUAGAGAGACUAGAGAGAGUUGAUCAUGUAAUUACCAUAAACCCAUGGAGGACUAACCGGAACGUACGUGAGAGAAACUUGUAUAUCUUCAUAUCUCUGGUAGGUACUACCGAACUGGUUAGGAUUUUCACCCAAUGUUGCUUCCUCUGAUCGUUAGAGAUCGAGUAUUAGACUGUGGGCUUCCAACCUAAAACCAAUUGGCAAUAGGUGGAGAGGCUCAUAUCUUAUAUAUACCACUUAAGAUCCUACUCAACUUCCGAUGUGGGACAUUGUCCCUAAUACGCCCCCUCGAGAUGAUGGCUCUUCUAGCCAUUGAUCUCGAUAUGUUUGGGCAUGGAUCGGCGGGCCAAGUAUUGGGCCGAACCGAUGUGGAUCGGGUUGAGUAUGUGCGGAUCGGGCUCUGAUACCAUAAAACAUCAUAAAAAUCCAAUACAGAGUUUUGAUAGGAAACACACAAAAACAUAAGACAAGCUCACAUAAAAAAUCUACCAAACAUUUCUUCUUCCAUGGCCAUUCCUAAGCGAAAGAGAUCCAAGACUCGAAGACACAUCCUCAAGCAAAGCUUCAUUCAUGGCAUCUCUUAGAUUCAUCUCAUCAGUAGCAUCAUGGAAACAUCCACGUGUCCUAGACUCACUUAUCAGUGUUGCCCAAAUCGAACCACUUAGAGCCAAAGUUGUCUCGUUCCCAAUCACCCAUAAACAGUGUCUUGCUCGAGUCAGUGCCACGUUAGCUCUUUGACGGUUGUUAAGAAAUCCGACUUUUCCAUUACCGUUACUUCUAACGGUGGAGAUGAUGAUAAUGUCUUCUUCUCCUCCUUGAAAACCAUCUACGGACCGAACAUUCAAAGUGAAUUGCUGACCUGAUAAGGAACUGUACUUAUCUCCGAUUUUCUCUUGGAUUGCUCUCAUCUGUCCUUUGUAAGGUGAGACCACUCCGACACUCACCUUCAUCCUCCUUUCACAUGAAACUUUG
rnacentral:sRNA from 1 species